rnacentral:rRNA from 1 species
CAGUAGCCGCGGUAAUACAGAGGGUGCGAGCGUUAAUCGGAUUUACUGGGCGUAAAGCGUGCGUAGGCGGCUUUUUAAGUCGGAUGUGAAAUCCCUGAGCUUAACUUAGGAAUUGCAUUCGAUACUGGGAAGCUAGAGUAUGGGAGAGGAUGGUAGAAUUCCAGGUGUAGCGGUGAAAUGCGUAGAGAUCUGGAGGAAUACCGAUGGCGAAGGCAGCCAUCUGGCCUAAUACUGACGCUGAGGUACGAAAGCAUGGGGAGCAAACAGGAUUAGAUACCCGCGUAGUCCCUGUCUCUUAUUC